rnacentral:ncRNA from 12 species
CGGGGGUUGGAUUCAUGAUGCUGUGGCCCCCGUCAGCGUUGAACUGGUGAUCACGGGGAUCUCCAUACACCAGUCGGUACAGCCGCGUCACUACUAAAGUAGGCCGCUAGGGGAUGCCCGCAUUGCUCCUAGCGCUCCGAAUUUUAUGCGUAGUGUCGCGCUGCACGCCGUGGAGGGGUGAAGCAUGUUGGACUUGCUUCAGAAGGUGCGGAACGCCG